GGCCUCCCAAUGCUUACCACAGGCUGUGUUCUUUACACUGAUUGUAUAGAAAGAGGAGGUACAGUAAAUGCACCCCAUAUACAUUUCAGCAAGGCCCUUUUUCUGGUCUGUAUUGUGAAUUGGGGACAAUAA